UAGAUACUCCCUCUGUUCCAAAUUAUUCGUCGCAGAAAUAGAUGUAUCUAGAACUAAAAUACAUUUAGAUACAUCCAUACCUGUGACAAGUAAUUCGGAACAAAGGGAGUAGAAC
rfam:Triticum aestivum genome assembly, contig: Triticum_aestivum_CS42_TGACv1_scaffold_115085_2AS